AUCAACUACAACAUCAAUAAUAAUAAGAGUGAUUCUAGUGAUUGUUGAGGUGUCAGUGUUUGCUGCUCCUACUGUCAUUCUUCUUCAGAUCAUCUGUGCAGGAAGAGCGCAAAACAGAAGAAGGACUCAGAACGCUCAUCCAGAAGACACAGUGAUGUCAGCAGUUUAGGAAUAAAAUCUCAAGGGCACCUCAGUCGUUAGCCGUCGGCCCUAAGAAUUGAACCUGCAACCUUCUGGUCACAAGUCAGACUCUCUAACCAUUAAACCACGACUGUCUGUAAUAUCUUCCUUUCACUAUUAAUGUCAUAGUUCAUCCCCAGAUGAAACAUCUUUCAUCAUUUACUCACCUUCAGUAACCUGUAUUUUUUCCUUUGUACACAAAAGAAGAUAUUUUGAAGAAUGUGGGGAAGUAAACAGUUCUGGGUCACCAUUGACUAUAGUAAUCUUUUGUUUGGUUAAACACAUUCUUCCAAAUUCUGUCUUUGUGUUCAGCAGAACAAAGUAUUUUACACAGGUUUGAAACAUCUUGAGGGUGAGUAAGUGAUGACAGAAUUGUAAUUUUUUCGUGAACUAUUACUUUAAAUAUGUCAACAGAGUCUGACGGUUUGUGUAACUGCAUGUGUGUUACUGCAUUUGUGUAGCGUAGUUAAAUUGUGUGUUGAUUUAUAUCUGUUAAUUCUGGCUUUAACAUGUUUUGAUUUUGCAUAAUUCCUGAAUAAAAUGUCUGAUAAUGA